GACGAACGCUGGCGGCGUGCUUAACACGUGCAAGUCGAACGGUAAGGCCCUUCGGGGUACACGAGUGGCGAACGGGUGAGUAACACGUGGGUGAUCUGCCCUGCACUUCGGGAUAAGCCUGGGAAACUGGGUCUAAUACCGGAUAGGACUCCUGCCUGCAUGGGUGGGGGUGGAAAGCUUUUGCGGUGUGGGAUGGGCCCGCGGCCUAUCAGCUUGUUGGUGGGGUGAUGGCCUACCAAGGCGACGACGGGUAGCCGGCCUGAGAGGUUGACCGGCCACACUGGGACUGAGAUACGGCCCAGACUCCUACGGGAGGCAGCAGUGGGGAAUAUUGCACAAUGGGCGCAAGCCUGAUGCAGCGACGCCGCGUGAGGGAUGACGGCCUUCGGGUUGUAAACCUCUUUCAGCACAGACGAAGCGCAAGUGACGGUAUGUGCAGAAGAAGGACCGGCCAACUACGUGCCAGCAGCCGCCGUAA
rnacentral:rRNA from 1 species